rnacentral:misc_RNA from 1 species
UCACUAAUCAAGCUCGGCUUGCUGUUGGACCUUCUGUCGUUAAAAAGACGGGCCCUAAAGAUAAUGACGGUUGUUAAUUAGACCCUAGAUGCAACGAGCUUUCAUUAGCACGCAUGUUAGUUGGACUUUUUAACCCGGUCUUUUUUUAACCAAUUUUUAAGGUUGACCUCGGAUCAGGUAGGAAUACCCGCUGAACUUAA